rnacentral:misc_RNA from 1 species
GAUGAAGAACGCAGCGAAAUGCGAUAAGUAAUGUGAAUUGCAGAAUUCAGUGAAUCAUCGAAUCUUUGAACGCACAUUGCGCCCCUUGGUAUUCCGAGGGGCAUGCCUGUUCGAGCGUCAUUAUAACCCUCAAGCUCAACUUGGUGUUGGGGCCUGCUGCACUGGCAGCCCUUAAAAUCAGUGGCGGCGCCAUCUGGCUCUAAGCGUAGUAAUUCUUCUCGCUAUGGAGUCCUGGUGGAUGCUUGCCAUCAACCCCCAAUUUUUCUAUGGUUGACCUCGGAUCAGGUAGGGAUACCCGCUGAACUUAAGCAUAUCAAUAAGCGGAGGA